GACCAGCCAUAGCAGUACCACUCUUGGUGAGCCAGCUAGUGAAUAAAGCUGGCACUGCUUACAGGGAAGAGCCAUGGGCAUGAACGUUGAGAAAUGGUGACUUAAAUAUGUUCAACUUGUAAAUGUAGCCUUGACAUUUUCUAACUUAAAAGUACAUCUCUAGAUCUAGAAAGUCAAAUUUUGUGUAGCAACAUAGCUAAUUCACCUUCUAUGUCUUCUCCAAGCACAAGUGCUUCUCCAAGCACAGUUAAACUGGAGAACUAGACCUCAGCCCCCUCUAUAUGACAUCACCUCUUGUGGCUUUUUUCAGAAGCAUUUGUUUGCUUCUGGACAAACAUAUAACCCCUCUAUAACUUCUAUGAUGCAUAUGCAUUUGCAUUUUUGGAUUCCUUUGGUGCUUAAUUUUCAACAUAGGUUGGGGAGCUAUCCUGAGCUGAUGUUCAGUCCAGGCUUCUUCCAAAUUAUACAAAUCUUUCAUCUCCUCUACAGAAUAAGGUCCAGGAUGAAGCAGAAGACCCUGAGUAUAUUGCACUGGCACCCAGAAGAACAGCAGAGCAUGUAUGGGCUGACAGACCUCUACAUAGACACAUGCUUCCACAAGCCAGCUUAAGUAAGAGCCUAAACAAAACCAGAAGCAUACAUAGGAGAUCAGACUUGGGAUGGCAGACAUUGCCAGUGAUGGUUAGGGAGAGCAUUAGGCAAAUUCACCUUAUAGAGUGAGUGGGACCUCUUCAGCAGCAGAAAACUGUGUGAGUUGUGUCCUUCUCCUCACAUGCUGAAGUUUGUGGUCACAAGUUGAUGCUACCCUGGAGUAUCUGUGUACCUUUUACCAUGCUCCAGCACUUAAGGGGUCAGAAACGAUGAAUUUCUUCCAGGAGCAGUGAGGCCAUAAAAAAACAGAAUGGUGCACCUUUUAGCCAGAUGGCCACUUCCUUCCUCCUGAAAACAGGUAUUGACAUGUAGGACAGCAUAGUGAUCGUGACGCUUAAGUCCCACACCCGCUGUGGUUCACAUCUCUGGAUUGCUAGCCACUGUUAUUGAAUCCAUUUCUCACACUGUAACAUUGUACUGGAAAGAGUGGCAAACGGCCAAGGAAUUUUUCCAGAGCUGUAACACAAGAUAUUCAAGACUUCCAGUAAGAAUCCCCUAACCCUCAUCUAACUGACGUAUGAAACCAAUAUAAAAUACAUAGGGCUCAAAGUAAACCCAAAAUGUGAAGCUGCAAUUCUCUUGGGUUUGUUUUCAUCAGCUCACUAUGCUGAUCUUCUCUUCAUUUUGCUUUUUUUUUUUUCCUGUAUAUAGCUGCAGAGGGUUUGCAAGUGUGUGUCUGAGACACCUCUUGAGGCAAGGCAAAACAUUGGCCUCCAACCUUGCUGAAAUGGAACCUGAAGUUUGCUUCAGGGUAUUUUUGUAAGCACCAGCCUAUGGUCAUGAAGAUCUGGCCAGCAUUCUGCUGGUUGUAUUUACACACUCUCAGGUCUCUCCUCUGGUCUAUGAAGUGUGAUGCCAUGGGCAGUGGCAAUAGCAGUGACAGAGCCUGGAGCCAGAGGCACAAUUGUUGUAUUAACAAAUUGACACAGUAUAAUGCCACAUCAACACGUCUCUCUUGC
rnacentral:lncRNA from 1 species